rnacentral:rRNA from 1 species
GAUAGCUUGCUAUCAAUGCUGACGAGCGGCGGACGGGUGAGUAAUGCCUGGGAAUAUGCCCUGAUGUGGGGGAUAACUAUUGGAAACGAUAGCUAAUACCGCAUAAUCUCUUCGGAGCAAAGAGGGGGACCUUCGGGCCUCUCGCGUCAGGAUUAGCCCAGGUGGGAUUAGCUUGUUGGUGGGGUAAUGGCUCACCAAGGCAACGAUCCCUAGCUGGUCUGAGAGGAUGAUCAGCCACACUGGAACUGAGACACGGUCCAGACUCCUACGGGAGGCAGCAGUGGGGAAUAUUGCACAAUGGGGGAAACCCUGAUGCAGCCAUGCCGCGUGUAUGAAGAAGGCCUUCGGGUUGUAAAGUACUUUCAGUUGUGAGGAAGGCGUUGAUGUUAAUAGCUUCAGCGUUUGACGUUAGCAACAGAAGAAGCACCGGCUAACUCCGUGCCAGCAGCCGCGGUAAUACGGAGGGUGCGAGCGUUAAUCGGAAUUACUGGGCGUAAAGCGCAUGCAGGUGGUCUGUUAAGCAAGAUGUGAAAGCCCGGGGCUCAACCUCGGAACAGCAUUUUGAACUGGCAGACUAGAGUACUGUAGAGGGGG